rnacentral:rRNA from 1 species
AUACGGAGGUGGCGAGCGUUACUCGGAUUCAUUGGGUGUAAAGGGCAGGUAGGUGUCCUGCUAAGUGGGAGGUGAAAUACUUCGACUCAAUCGAAGAACUGCCUUCCAAACUAGUAGGAUUGAGUGUGAGAGAGGAAAGCGGAACUCUCGGUGUAAGGGAGAAAUCUGUAGAUAUCGAGAGGAACACCAGUUGCGAAGGCGGCUUUCUGGACCACAACUGACACUGAGCUGCGAAAGCUAGGGGAGCGAACAGGAUUAGAUACCCUGGUAGUCCUAGCCGUAAACGAUGAGUACUUGGUGUCUUGGGUUAAACCAAGGUGCCGAAGUUAACACAUUAAGUACUCCACCUGGGGACUACGGCCGCAAGGCUAAA